UGGGGAAUAUUGGACAAUGGGGGAAACCCUGAUCCAGCAAUGCCGCGUGAGUGAUGAAGGCCUUAGGGUUGUAAAGCUCUUUCGGCGGGGACGAUGAUGACGGUACCCGCAGAAGAAGCCCCGGCUAACUUCGUGCCAGCAGCCGCGGUAAUACGAAGGGGGCAAGCGUUGUUCGGAAUUACUGGGCGUAAAGGGCGCGCAGGCGGCCGACGUAGUCAGGCGCGAAAGCCCCGGGCUUAACCUGGGAAUUGCGUUUGAUACUCGUUGGCUAGAGUUCGGGAGAGGAUGGUGGAAUUCCCAGUGUAGAGGUGAAAUUCGUAGAUAUUGGGAAGAACACCGGUGGCGAAGGCGGCCAUCUGGACCGAAACUGACGCUGAGGCGCGAAAGCGUGGGGAGCAAACAGGAUUAGAUACCC
rnacentral:rRNA from 1 species